AGAGUUUGAUCCUGGCUCAGAUUGAACGCUGGCGGCAGGCCUAACACAUGCAAGUCGAGCGGUAGAGAGAAGCUUGCUUCUCUUGAGAGCGGCGGACGGGUGAGUAAUGCCUAGGAAUCUGCCUGGUAGUGGGGGAUAACGUUCGGAAACGGACGCUAAUACCGCAUACGUCCUACGGGAGAAAGCAGGGGACCUUCGGGCCUUGCGCUAUCAGAUGAGCCUAGGUCGGAUUAGCUAGUUGGUGAGGUAAUGGCUCACCAAGGCGACGAUCCGUAACUGGUCUGAGAGGAUGAUCAGUCACACUGGAACUGAGACACGGUCCAGACUCCUACGGGAGGCAGCAGUGGGGAAUAUUGGACAAUGGGCGAAAGCCUGAUCCAGCCAUGCCGCGUGUGUGAAGAAGGUCUUCGGAUUGUAAAGCACUUUAAGUUGGGAGGAAGGGUUGUAGAUUAAUACUCUGCAAUUUUGACGUUACCGACAGAAUAAGCACCGGCUAACUCUGUGCCAGCAGCCGCGGUAAUACAGAGGGUGCAAGCGUUAAUCGGAAUUACUGGGCGUAAAGCGCGCGUAGGUGGUUUGUUAAGUUGGAUGUGAAAUCCCCGGGCUCAACCUGGGAACUGCAUUCAAAACUGACUGACUAG
rnacentral:rRNA from 1 species